AGCAAGGCUCAUUAUCCAUACAUAAACAUAUGUGCUGCCUCUCAACAGCAAAGUGCAGUUUUUUCAAGAGAGUAUUUUAAAUCUGAACUGCUUGACUGUCAAAUUGGUUCAGUCUGGCUUCAUUUUAAUUACAGCAGCCAUUGGAUCAUGCUGGUGGGUGAGGGAAGAUGUGCUACUUCUGUAGGCAAAGGAAGGUAUCUUUGCAAAAUGUCUGCCUGUAAAACACUGCUCUGUCUUCAGCAUCACCACAAGAGUGAGAAUGGAGGUCAGCAGUGAGCCUUAGUGCCUGUUCCCAUGGGGUUUUCCUCUGGGCUUCAGCCAGGAUUACCUUAUUAAGAGAAUGCUGCCUUUUGUUGAUGGAAACUAUGGAAAGUGAGAACUGGACCUUGGUUUGUUGCCCUGCAGCACCUGCAGCCCCUUUUAGCAGAGCAGGCAUGUGGAAAACACAGCCAGGUUAGACCAGUAAUGGUGUUUAAUCCUCGUUCUGCAUUUGUGUGAGGCACUGGGGAGCAGAGCCCGAGGGAAGCAGGCAAUUUCCUGCAGGUAUUUAACAAGGUGUGGCAGGAAAAUGAGGAGAGGGCAGUACCUCUGGAGGCAGGAUUAGCAAAGAAGGGGUUUUCUCCCCUCAGGCUCCAUUUAUAACUACCUCAUUGGUGAUGAAGGUCUGAAAAAGUAUGAGAUGCAUACAUGCAUGAGCUUCUGCCAUGAGCAGGAUUGCAGACUUUGCAAGCAUUGUUGUUGGGGUGUCUUCCUUCUUCAAACAGCCAAGUCACUACACUUAAAUCCUGCUGAGCGUUGCUGAACCAGGGUUUUCCAUAACCAUGAGAGGUGGCACCUCCUGCUUGCCCUGUCCCGAAGCAAGCCCAGAGAGGAGGCAGCUCUCCCCAGGAGGUCUGACAGGCUGCACACCACAGAAACAGCCAGAGGCAACCAAACAACCAAAAUGCUGUUUUCCUUAUUUCUGGAGGGCAGAAGCUGUGGCAGCAAAGGCAUUUCUCCAGAACUUCAGCUCCUCUGGGCUGCCUCCCAUGCACAACUUUUUUCUGGAGGCACUUGAGAUUUAAUUCCAGCUGCCAAGGAUUUCUUCUCCUACCCAAGGAGAUAAGAGCAGCUGCACUUGGCCAGGCCCAAGCUCCCUCUUGCCUGGUAUUUCAUCUUUGGCUGAUGAGAGAUCAGAGGUAGCUGAGGAGGCAAAAGCAGGCACUUUCCUCAGCUGACCUCCCCACCAGCCAGACAUCACCUGCCCGUGGCUGCCAGAGCCCCAAAAAACCCAGUGCCUGCCUCUCCUUGGAAAGGGCUCCCAAUUGGGCACAGGAAAACUCAAGAGCACCACAGGGCUCUGGUGGAGGUCCUGUGGAGCUCACUGAGCUCUGAGCAAUUAAUUGUGUGGCACAUGGAUCUGUGUGGGUGCCAGAGUAAUUAACUGAAGUGAAACACAUGCUCUUCCAGUCUUACAUGCUGUGGUUAAGACAGAAAUGAAGAAAUGAAGAUGACCAUCAAAAUGAAUUAUUUCUCUAUUAGCAAGGCUCAGGGACAUCUCUCAGCUGUGUAAUUAAUUUUAAUUGUGAGUGAGUGACUCCUGUCAGGGCUUCAAGAGAGAUACUGCAUCUCUCUCCCACAAGGAAGACCAUAACUAUUCCUGUAUACAAAGGUCUGUGGAGAGUGAAGAUUUUCUUCAUAUUUGAAAAUUUUCCAGCUGAUGGAAAUAGAGAAGCUCCUGCUGAGAAAUGUCCCUCUUCACUGGGGGACUGAAGGGGUCUCUGCACAAUGCAGGGAGAACAAUGUCUUGUACUUGGGUUUGCACAGCAAGAGACAGAAAACAGAAUUAAUACAAUUAAUACUCUGGGUGCCUUGUUUCUGGUCUCCCCAGCAGGGAUGGUCUGAGGUCCUCACCAGACGAGUUAUCCAUGGCUCAGCCUGGUGAAGGAGGUGCUCAGGAGCUAUCCAUGGCUCAGCCUGGU